CACAUUUGUCUCCGUCUGGACAAUUGUUUGUCCAAUUGGUUUCCGUUUGUGGAAGAUCAGAGCCAGGGUGAAAACCGAAUGGGUUCAUAAUCGGUUCUUCGUCAACAUAUCCUCUGAAGAUACACUCCAUCUCUUUUCUAUCGGAAAAAUCCAAAGACUCCAACUUUUUUUUGCCAAUCUAGAAGAAAUCGAGAUCCCCAGGAAUCUCCGUUUCGUUGCCCAGAUUCUCCUCUUCUCCAGCAGAGAUAGAUCUUGCCACCAUCACAGAUCGAAUGGCUGUUAGAAAAGCUGUUCAAAACGGAAACGUCGAGGAUGCUAUUGAAAAAGUUAAUGACUUGAACUUUGAGAUACUAGACAGAAAUCCAGAGCUCUUCUUUCAUCUUCAGCAGCAAAGGGUGAUUGAACUUAUUCGACAAGAGAAGCCUUGGAGUUUGCUCAGGAGGAACUUUCACCACGUUGCAGCAAGGGAAAAGCAUGAUUGUUGCGGGCUUUGCUGAGUCUAAGAAGGAUCAUGGUAAUUGGGAAGAGUGCUCUUUGUUUGAUCCUUGUUUGCAUUACCUUUUAGUAGUUAACUAGAUAGUUUUGGACUAGCUUUUUGUUUGAUUUGUUGGUUCAAGUUUUAGAGAUCCUAUCUAUUGAUGAUUUUGAUGAUUUUUAUGUGUGUAGUACUUCUCAUUUGGAUUGAAGAAAUUUUUUUUUUUUUAA